AUUGAACGCUGGCGGCAUGCCUUACACAUGCAAGUCGAACGGCAGCACAGGAGAGCUUGCUCUCUGGGUGGCGAGUGGCGGACGGGUGAGGAAUACAUCGGAAUCUACUCUGUCGUGGGGGAUAACGUAGGGAAACUUACGCUAAUACCGCAUACGACCUACGGGUGAAAGCAGGGGACCUUCGGGCCUUUCGCGAUGGAAUGAGCCGGUGUCGGAUUAGCUAGUUGGCGGGGUAAAGGCCCACCAAGGCGACGAUCCGUAGCUGGUCUGAGAGGAUGAUCAGCCACACUGGAACUGAGACACGGUCCAGACUCCUACGGGAGGCAGCAGUGGGGAAUAUUGGACAAUGGGCGCAAGCCUGAUCCAGCCAUACCGCGUGGGUGAAGAAGGCCUUCGGGUUGUAAAGCCCUUUUGUUGGGAAAGAAAUCCAGCUGGCUAAUACCCGGUUGGGAUGACGGUACCCAAAGAAUAAGCACCGGCUAACUUCGUGCCAGCCGCCGCAGUAAAAC
rnacentral:rRNA from 1 species